rnacentral:pre_miRNA from 1 species
UCCAGAACUCGAGAUAUGAGCUGAACACCGAACAGUAUCUGGUUACAAGAUAGAUUCCGAUUUCUUUUUUGUUGCUAAGAUUUGAACUUCAAAAUAGAAGUAUUGAAUGUUGGACUCUUCAUGAAUGUUUUGGGUCUAUGUCCUAGCUUUCCAUC